rfam:Coprococcus eutactus CAG:665 genomic scaffold, scf123
CCGGGGAGGUGCCCAUGUGUCGGAGACGCAUAUCGCAUGGCACCGACGAACUGCCGCCGACCCUAGGGAGGGGGCGAUACCAGAC